UUCUUUCCUCAUCCCCACCUCCCAGAAUUUGCUCCUCUCAAGUUAUUUUAGCACCUUAAUCUUUGCCACAGACUUUUCUUUGCAAAGGACCCAGGCUAAGACAGAUAAUAUCAGAGAUGGUUCUGGAAACAGGCUGUCAGGGUGGAGUUUUGGAGUUGAACUGCUCACAUGUCCAAGAGGAAGAGUGAUUCCAUUGCUGCUGGUCGGUAGGAUUGCUUUAAUACCUGAGAUGCCUCAGUUUCCCUUGCAUCCAGAAUCAGAGGAGAAAAUAGAACUGCCUUAGGUGGGAUAACGCUGGGCCAUGGAGACAAGCCAAGACCUAUGGGACAGCCUCCCUGCCCGCGUGCUGUCGCCACAGCUAUGAUUCUGGAAGAGAGGGCAUUCGCCUCCCCCCCCUGCCUGUGCUGUCUUGGGGAACUUGGCAGAGGAGAUGCUGACACCUUUGCGGACCCUUCUGCUGUCCAUCCCAGCCGGCUGCUGGACGUGAGGACACUUGGGGCGACGACGGGCGCCCCAGCCCCAGGUCAGCGCCCUCCCUGCGACCCUUCUGCUCCGCCGGCCAAACCUGCCAACGGGUCAGCAGGCCUGUGGGG